GUGGGUAUAUCUCAGCAGUAGAGUAUAUAAUUUGCAUGCAUGAAAUUCUGGGUUCAAUUCCUGAUACCCCCA
rnacentral:tRNA from 1 species